UACGGGGGGGGCAAGCGUUGUUCGGAAUUACUGGGCGUAAAGGGCUCGUAGGCGGCCAACUAAGUCAUACGUGAAAUCCCUCGGCUUAACCGGGGAACUGCGUCUGAUACUGGAUGGCUUGAGUUCGGGAGAGGGAUGCGGAAUUCCAGGUGUAGCGGUGAAAUGCGUAGAUAUCUGGAGGAACACCGGUGGCGAAGGCGGCAUCCUGGACCGAUACUGACGCUGAGGCGCGAGAGCGUGGGGAGCAAACCGG
rnacentral:rRNA from 1 species